rnacentral:rRNA from 1 species
AGAGUUUGAUCCUGGCUCAGGACGAACGCUGGCGGCGCGCUUAACACAUGCAAGUCGAGCGAGAACCAGACCUUCGGGUCUGGGGACAGCGGCGAACGGGUGAGUAACACGUGGGUAAUCAACCCUCGGUACUGGGAUAGCCCGGGGAAACCCGGAUUAAUACCGGAUGGCCCUUUGGAUCUUCGGAUCUGACGGAAAAGGUAGCUUCGGCCUCCGACCGAGGACGAGCCCGCGGCGGAUUAGCUUGUUGGUGGGGUAACGGCCUACCAAGGCGGCGAUCCGUAGCUGGUCUGAGAGGACGAUCAGCCACACUGGGACUGAGACACGGCCCAGACUCCUACGGGAGGCAGCAGUGGGGAAUCUUGCGCUAAUGCGGGAAACCGUGACGCAGCGACGCCGCGUGAGGGAAGAAGGCCUUCGGGUUGUAAACCUCUUUCAGGAGGGACGAAGCUACUCGGGUUAAUAGCCCAGAGGGUGACGGUACCUCCAGAAGAAGCCCCGGCUAACUACGUGCCAGCCGCCGCGGUAAUAC